rnacentral:misc_RNA from 1 species
AGACGCACCUUCAGAGCCAGAAGUUGAAGAGGACGAAUUCAUUUCAAGGACGGAGAUUUAUGUAAGCACUAUAUUGGGAUUUGUUGUUGGUAUUGGGAUCAUCUUUCUACCACUUCUGGUCUCAAAAAGAUGGAACCAGUCGUACAACAGAAUAAUGGACAGAUUAAUUUUAAGUAUAUUUCAGCAGCAAGUUGAAGAAAGGCGAACUAGUACCAGUAGUGUAGCAUCUUGGAAAAAAGCAGCAGGGAAAUCAAGA